rnacentral:misc_RNA from 1 species
CAACCCUUAAGCCCCUGUUGCUUAGCGUUGGGAGCCUACGGCAGCGUAGCUCCUCAAAAGUAGUGGCGGAGUCGGUUUCGCGCCCCAGACGCAGUAAUUUUCAUCUCGUCUGCGGUUGGGACCGGUUUUUGGCCGUAAAACCCCCCAUCUUUUAAAAA